UGGAGCCUACGGGAGGCAGCAGUGGGGAAUAUUGGGCAAUGGGCGCAAGCCUGACCCAGCAACGCCGCGUGAAGGAAGAAGGCUUUCGGGUUGUAAACUUCUUUUAAGAGGGAAGAGAAGAAGACGGUACCUCUUGAAUAAGCCACGGCUAACUACGUGCCAGCAGCCGCGGUAAUACGUAGGUGGCAAGCGUUAUCCGGAUUUACUGGGUGUAAAGGGCGUGUAGGCGGGAAAGCCAGUCAGAUGUUAAAACCAUGGG
rnacentral:rRNA from 1 species